AAACCCUAAUUGUUGUAAAUUGUAAGUGAAUCAAAGACUGCUGUUUUAGGUGAAAUUGAAGCAUAUCACCAAAAUGCUUGAGAAUGUUGCCGGAUAGAAAGUGAAAGCUGAAGAAAUAGCAACAGUUAAGGUUGGUUUUGAGAGGCCUAAUGGUGUCAGUGAUAGCAAACCAACUCUUAUUGGUUCUGCAAAUAAUGGAAAUAGCACUACUCCUGCUAGCAAGUAAGUAGGGUGGUGUGAAUUGGCAUUAGAGUUUACCGCAAGGUUUUAAAUUUAGGACAUGUUACGUUUUUGAUACUACGAGUCAAAUGAUGUUGAUGCAGCCUGAAAUCGCUGUAACUUACAAACGCGGCGAUAUCAAAAGCCAUGAUGUUGCAGCUCAGAUUGCGGUCAAAUAA
rnacentral:lncRNA from 1 species